UUGUUUAGCUACAAUGACUGCUCAGGUGCAUUGGUCUAUGUCGGAAAAAACCUUCGUGGUUCAACUGAUAAAUGAUCGGUACGACGAGUUAUAUUGUCGAUUUAAAGGUGCCACACUAGGUGGCAAAAAAAAGGAACAAACCUGGCAAGAGGUUGCUGAUACCUUCAAUAGCUCCAGUGUCGCACAAUGUUCUAGGACAGUGCGUCAAAUAAAAGACAUGUAUGCGCAGUUGAAAUGUCGAGCCAAAAAAAAAAGAGUCUGACAGAAAAGAAACUGGAGGGGGGCCUCCAGCUGUAUUAACCACGGUGGAAGACCUGGUCAUAGAUGGCAUCCGCGACAAGCCACAGCUGAUUGACAUUCCGGGUGGCAUUGAUUCAGGUGAUUGUUAUGCAUGCGUGGCUGAUGUUGCUGAGAUGGCAGACACUGAUGAAGCCUCAGCCAUGUGUACACUAACUGUUGCUGAGUGUACAUCAAAGCCUGCAACUGCCUUGAAUGUAGCCACUUCUUCAACAUCAAGACCAUCAAAAGAAUCGUUGAAAAAGAGAAAGAGAAACAGAUGCUAUGAAGAAGAGCUACUUGAGCUGGAAACAAGACGAGCACAGGCUGAGUUGGACCUGCUGUUGCAGAGGCAACAGCAGGAAAAACAGCUACAUGAUCUUAGAAUUAAGGUGAUCACAGAGGCUGCAGAGCAAGAGAGACAACUUUUUACUUUAAAAAAAGAGUUGUUAAACUCAAAUAUAAAGUCUGCAAUGGAUCAAGGCCUUCUUUUGUUUGAAUCUUAAACUUAACAUGUUUCUAGGGGCAUAUCGACUGCUAA